UGGGUAACCUGCCUCAAAGAGGGGAAUAGCCUCCCGAAAGGGAGAUUAAUACCGCAUAAUAUGUUUAGGUCGCAUGACUUUAACAUCAAAGGAUUUUCUUUUAGAAAUUCCACUUUGAGAUGGACCCGCGGCGCAUUAGCUAGUUGGUGAGGUAACGGCUCACCAAGGCAACGAUGCGUAGCCGACCUGAGAGGGUGAUCGGCCACAUUGGAACUGAGACACGGUCCAGGCUCCUAGGGAGG
rnacentral:rRNA from 1 species